rnacentral:rRNA from 2 species
CUCGACCUCAGAUCAGACAAGGCUACCCGCUGAAUUUAAGCAUAUUAAUAAGCGGAGGAAAAGAAACUAACAAGGAUUCCCCCAGUAACGGCGAGUGAAGCGGGAACAGCUCAAAUUUGAAAUCUCCGUUGCUCCGCAACGGCGAAUUGUAGUUUCGAGAAGCGCUUUCUAGGCGGACCGGCUGCGCCUAAGUUGCUUGGAACAGCACGUCAUAGAGGGUGACAACCCCGUCCAUGGCGUGGCCGGCCGCUCACGAUGUGCUUUCGAA